AUAUUAAUAAAUUUAAAUAUUUAAUGGGAGACAUUAAAUAAAAUGCACAUUAAUUAUUUUGAAUUAAGGACACAUAAGGGGAUUAUGAUCAAUAUGUAAUCUAACACCAAUUUAUUUUAAAUUUUAAUAUUUUUAAAGGAUUAAAAUUAAAAAACCUCAAAUUUUAUUUUGUCAAGUCAUGAGGCAUGGCGUCGAUGAAAUUGUUUGGUGUGGUAUUGUUUCUUUCUUUGUAUUAAUUGACCUUUUAAUGUAUUUUAAGGCCUGUAUUAUAGAUUUGUUUCAUAUCAAAUCUUAAAUUAUCGGUGUUAAUAAAAUUGAUUUGGUUUUGUAGAUCAGAAUUUUUAAGCAACAAAAUCAACCUGCAAAUUCAGUUCAGGUAUGAAUGCUUCCGCUUAUUUAGAUUGUUGAAUUGAUCUUUACCUUUACUAGAUUUUAUUUUUCAAUGUUGUUUGCUACAUUAACGUGUUACUUUAUUAUUAAUAAUACUAAUUUGGUUUUGUAGAUUAAGAUUUUUAAGCGGGAAUCAAGUUCAAAAUUCAAUUGAGGUAUGAAUCUUUUUGCUUAUUUGGGCUAUUGAAUUCAUCCUUGCCUUUACUGCAUUUUUUGACUGUUGUUUGGUGCAUUCUGGUAUUGAUUUUAUUAUAAUUUUAUGGAUUUUAAGUGGUUAUUUGGAUUUUGGAUUGUGAGAAGGAUCUGGUGGGUUUUCAAGAUAAUCAAAUAAGUUUGGGAUUUUUACCGCUUCUCUCUGCAUGCUUCUAGCUGUUAUAUAUAUCAAUUGUUUGCAUUUUUUUUUCUUUCGUUUUUACUCAAUUUUUUAACUUUUUCUCAAUGUGUGCUUCAUGUAUGUUUCUCAAUUGUUUGAAUUUACCUUUUGCCUUCAGUUUUUACUGAAUUUAUUGACUUUUUGUGCAUGAGUUAAUCUAUUUGUUAUAUGUCAUGGUUAAAGGUUUGGUUUCUUUCUUUUUUCUUUUUAUCAAUCCUCUCUCUUUACAAUUUGAGUUGAAUUACAAUGGGAUGUACAUCAAAGGAGGCUAAAAAGCAGUCUAGCCCCAGGAAAAGGCCAUAAACAAAGCAAGGAAAAAGACCAGUGGUUAAAAAGGCUAAGUAGUCCGAAAGAGAUUUAUACAAAACAUAAAGUGCAACCUUUGUCCAAAUCUUAGACAUCCCACUAAUCCAGAAAAAUACAAAAUGAUAGCUAGCUACACCUUUGCUUCAUUUUUCAAGUUGAUAGGUUACCCUGAGCCCCUCAAAUAAUUAACAAAUCAUCCAAACGUGUUUCACGUUGGUAGGUUAUCCUGAACCUCUUAAUAAUUAACAAAUAAACCAGCAUGCUUUCACAGUGCAUCUACACUAUUUGGUUCAGGAAGUGAUAAAACUGAAAGUUGAACAAUGUUUAUACAUCAGCUCCCACUAUAUCGUUAACUUUUAGCCCUCAAGUCUUAAUUAAGUUUUUGUUUUUUCUUUUGUUAAGUUUUGUCUGCAUAAAAACAAACUCACCAGCUCCCACUACAUCAUUAACUUUUGACACCCACAAUUAUUUUGAAUUAAUAGCACAUAAUAAAGCUACUUUAAUUUUCUUCUUUGGGAUUACUUUAAUGAUGCAGGCAUCCUUGGUAUUAUCUUCUCUGGGAUUACUUUAAUUAUGCAGGCAUCCUUGGUUUCAUUGCCUUGAAAAUGCAUGCAAUCUCGGACACGUAACAAAGUUGCUCACUUUGAUGAGCAAUUUUCCCUAUAAAAAAAAUUGAGUGCACCACAUCACAGAUCAUGGCCCAUAAAUUAUAAAAAUAGUAACGAAAACCUACAAAAGCAAGUGCCCCUUAGUUUACGUUUAAAUGUGUGAACAAAAGUCUAAAAUUAUGUGAAAAGUUUAAAAGUGUGUAAAAAAAAAGUUUAAAGAUGUAUGUAAAAGUCUAAAUGUGUGUUUAAAAGUCUAAAGCUGUGUGACUUAUGCUUAUUCUGCUAGGUUGUAUAUAUGUAAAUUAUGCUUAUUUGACUAUGAGUUUUGGUUUUAAAUCUUGUAUUGUAUUUUUCAUGAUCUUUACAAAAGUGAAAGGCAACCCUUAUAGAGAGCCGAAAAGAAGAUUACAAGAGGAAGGCAACAACCAUACCUCACUAACAAAUCAGUCCUAACAAGUGGACAAGACAAAUAUUAAUAACAAGUAAAGUGGUUCCUAGAAACAAGGAAGAAAGAUUGACAAAAGACCUAAGUGAGUGACAAGGUAUGGAAGACUAGAUUAUGGUUGAGAAAAUCACUUUAAGCCAUACUUAGCUAGAGUGAUGUUUACAACCAAACUUGUGACAUACAAACAACUAGCACUGGAAUUCGGUUUGUUUCAAUACUCCCCCUCAAGAUGGAUCAAGGGGGUUAAUUGAUCUAAGCUUGCACAACAAACGCUGGAAUUGAGUAGAAUCUAAGGCUUUUAUGAACAAAUCAGCCAGUUGAUCGUGGCCUUGUGUGAACACUGUGUCGAUCGCCUUGGAUUGAACUUGAGCACGAAUGUAAUGGCAAUGAACUUCAAUAUGUUUAGUCUUCUCAUGGAACACUGAAUUAGAGGCAAUGUGCAUGGCAGCUUGGUUGUCACAAAACAAAGACAUUGGUGUGUUGCUUGUGAAAUCGAGAUCAGAAAAAAAUACCUUUUAGCCAUAUAAGUUCACAUGAUGUCGUUUCCUUGGCCCUAUACUCAACUUCUGCUUUAGAUCGUGCAAUUACGGUUUGCUUCUUACUUUUCCAAGUGACAAGAUUACCUCUAACAAAUGUGCAAAAACCUGUGGUAGACUUUCGAUCAAUUACAUUUCCAGCCCAAUUAGCAUUGGUGUAAGCCAUAAUGUGAUUUGAACCAUUGUUCUUCAUAAGUAUUCAUCUGCCUAUUGAGCUCUUGAGAUAACGAAGUAUUCUUUUGACAAUUUCCCAAUGAACUAGUGUAGGAGAGUGCAUAAACUGAAUGGCUAGGCUUACUGAAUAAGAAAUAUCAGGCCUAGUAAUGGUUAGAUAAAUGAGUUUCCCAACCACUCGCUGAUAAACACUAGGAUCCGAGAGAGGUUCCCUUUUUCAUGCAACUGAAGUUUGCUAGCUAGGGGUGUCCGAGCUAGAUUGCACUCCAUCAUGUUAGCUUCAUCCAAAAGAUCUAGAGCAUACUUUCUUUAAUUCAAGAAUAACCCCUUGGAAGAAGUGGCCACCUUAAUUCCAAGAAAGUAUUUCAGGGUCCCUAAGUCUUUGAUGGCAAAUUUUUGAUGAAGUGAUUGCUUAAAAGCUAUGAUUUCACCCACAUUAUCACCUAUAAUAAUAAGAUCAUCAACAUAUAUAAGUACCACUAAUUUCCCAGUAUCACCACUUCGAACAAACAAGGAAAAGUCAACAUGACUCCUUUGGAACCCUGCAGCUUCAAGAACUGAACUGAGCUUCGAAUACCAAGCUCUAGGGGACUGUUUGAGACCAUAUAUGGCUUUGUGAAGUUUGCAGACCUUGUUGGAUUCCUUUUCUUUUGGAUGACCCGGAGGCAACUUCAUGUACACUUCUUCUUCAAGCUCCCCAUGAAGGAAUGCAUUCUUCACAUCCAUUUGGAAUAAAGGCCAUGCAUUAUUAACUGCCACAUAUAACAAUACCCUCACAAUGUUCAUUUUGGCAACUGGAGCAAAGAUCUCCUUGUAGUCAAUGCCAUAGGUUUUGUGUAAAACCUUGAGCUACUAACCAUGCCUUAUGUCUCACAAUGCUUCCAUUGGAGUUGAACUUGGUCUUAUAUAUCCACCUACUUCCCACUGAUUUCUUGCCCUUUGGUAGAUCCUCCACACUCCAUGUCUGGUUAUCAUUCAGAGCUUGGAGCUCUUAAGUUAUAGCAUCUUGUCACUCAAGCAUGCAUGAGGCUUCAUGAAAAUUCCUUGGUUCAAAAUUGUUGGAUAAUUUGUUAAGAAAAGAAGCAUGAGAUGGUGAGAAUCUGUGGUAAGAAAUGGAUGCAGAGAUAUGAUGCCUUGCAGUGUAAGUAGUGUACUCUUGCAACCUUACUGGUGAAUGUCUAUCUCGUGCAGGAUUUCUCUUUGGUGCACUUAUAACUUGCUGAGUUGGUUCAAGUUCUGAUGGUCCUGAAGAGUUAGCUAUGCCCUCACUUACACUCUCAGUGGGGUGAGAAUUCUUAGUAUUGGUAUGGGCAUGAGUGACUUCAUUAACUUCUGCUAGAGAAGGCAGUGGAAAUAGGUUCAUAAGAUCUUCCAUAUUGGGAUUAGUCUCUAAACCUUUGUGGAAAUAAGGUGAAUAUUCAUCAAAUUGAACAUCUCUAGAGACUGCCAGCUUCCCAGUAUUAGGAUUGUACACCUUGUAACCCUUUUGAGAACUGGAGUAUCCCAUAAACACACAUUUGAUAGCCCGAUGGUCGAGUUUAUCACGAUGGGAAGCUUGAAUGUGCACAUAACUGGUGCAACCAAAGGUCCUGAGGUAAGACAAGUUUAUAGACCUGCCCUUCAUGACUUCGAAUGGAAAUUUAGUAUUCAAAACAUGAGUUGGCAGUUUGUUAAUUAUGUAAGUGGCAGUGAGUAGGGCUUGAGACCAAAAUUUCUUGGGAACAUUCAUUUGGAUCAUAAGUGAUCGAGUCUUUCCCAAUAAGUCUCGAUUUUUCUCUUUGCCACAUCAUUUUGUUGUGGAGUACCAACAUAGUUAGUUUGAUGCAAAAUGCCAUGAGUGCUCAAGUAACUACUCAUGUUAUUGGAAGUGUACUCAGUGCUAUUAUCUGAUAUUAACAUAUAUAACUUACAUGAGAAAUGAUUUGUGAUUAGGUUGUGAAAGUUUUUAAAAGCAUCAAACAACUCACUUUUAAACUUUAAAAGAUAUAACCAGGUCACUUUAGAAUAGUCAUCAACAAAUGUAACAUAAUAUCUAUACCCAUCAAAGGAUUCUAGACGAGAAGGACCCUAGAUAUCUGAGUGAACAACCUCAAAAAGUCUACUGGUUCUAGAAUUAGAGGAAACAAAAGGAAGCCUAGUAGCUUUUGACAUUUAACAAGUUUCACACUCAAGGUGUUUUUAUAAAAAACAGGAAACAGCUUGGUCAUCAUAAGUUAGAGGGAUAGGUAAGACGUUGGUGCCAGAGUUGAUGUUCCUGAGCUUGACUUAAGUUGACAAUGAGUUUUUUGACAAAUUUGGACUCCUUUGAGAGGUAGUAGAGUCCAUUUAAGAAGAACCUUUCACCAAUCUUCUUCUGAGUAACUCGGUCCUGAAACACAACAUUGUGAGGGGGAAAAUGGUAAGGCAAUCUAAAGUUUUAGUGAUUCUUCCUAUGGACAAGAGUUGAAAAGGAAAGGAAGGUACAUAGAAGGCAGUGGAAUCAGUAUGCUUACUCAGCAAUCUAACUUUCCCUUUCCCUUUAAUAGGUUCCCUUUUCCUAUUUGCAACAGACACAUGAAUUGGAUCACUAGUUUUUUUUAAAUUCAUGUAGACUAGAGGAUUUAUUAGUUUUAUGAUCAGUGGCACCUGAGUUAAUAAUCCAAAAAUCAUGUGUAACAUUAGCAUUAAAAGCAGUGGAAAUGGCACUGAUUAUACCUGGAAAGUUACCUUUCGAUGUGUUCUCCGAGUCAGCCAAGAAACCAGCAAAUUUCCCUAACAUUGCAGUAAGGUUUUCAGUUAUCACUUCCUUAUGUUCAUUGCUUCCUUGCUUCUUUUGAAGAAAAACUACAAACUCAUUGAUCAAGGAAAUGGGGUUUGUUGAGAAAUUUGCUAUCUCAUCAGCUGAGGAACAAGCUAAGUGAAAGGCUUUUGGAGUGACUCCUUUUACAUCUUUGAUCAUCCGGCCUUCCCUAUCAAACUUAGGUUUUAACUCCAAAUGUAGGAUCCAACAUUUUUCUCUUAAAUGUCCCUUCAUGUUGCAGUAAGAAAAUUUCCAGUCAGUUUUCUUCCCAAACACUCUAUCACCAGUUGUCUUGUGAUUGGUUGUGAAAACCCUAGCCUUAUAGUGAGAUUUGGGCUCAACAUUCAUCACUUUUCGUCGAGUUUCUUCUCUCUAGACUGCAUGACACACACUGGUAAAUGAGGGCAGCUCUGGAGUCAUUAACAAAUGACUACGCAGGUCUUCAUACUUAGCUCCCAAGCUUGCCAAGAGUUGAAACACCUUAUCUUUUGCAUCCCUCUUAAAAAACACAGCGAAAUCAGUCGUGUGUAGACAGUACAAAUUGAGUUCAUUCCACAUGGAUUUCAAGCUCCCAAGAUGUUGAAAAUGAGUGGUCACCUUGCUUCAGACUAGCAACAUUCUUCUUUAGUUGAAAAAUGCGAACUAAGUUAUUUUGGCUACCAUACAUGUCUAUGACAGACUCCUAUAGAAGAAGGAAAUAUUUUGAGUAGCUGAAAAGCUCAGACAACUUUGGCUCCAUAAAGUUAAGUAUCCUGGACAUAACCAACUGGUCAGUAGCUUGUCAUGCAUCAUAAGUUGAUGAAGUGGAUUCUGGAGACUCCGAGCUUCCAUUGAUAAACCCUAGUUUUGAUUUUCCUCAUAGGGCAAGCGACACAGCUCUUGACUAGUUGAACUCAUUUAGUAGCACCGAACACAGUCGUUGAUUUGGGAUGUUCUCACUCCCUUGAGUUAAGUUUGGGGGUGAAGAUGAGGAGCUAUCAGCACUAGAGACAUUUUCUUCUACCAUCUCUUUCGAUGAUGAGCAAACGAAGAAGAAAAAAAAAGUGGACAGAGUCAGGACCUUAUGGUUCUUGCUCUGAUACCAUGUUUCGUUUUGGUUUUAAAUCUUGUAUUGUAAUUUUCAUGAUCUUUACAAGAGUGAAAGGCAACCCUUAUAGAGAGCUGAAAAGAAAGUUACAAGAGGAAGGCAACAACCAUACCUCACUAACAAAUCUGUCCUAACAAGUGGACAAGACAAAUAUUAAUAACAAGUAAAGUGGUUCCUAGAAACAAGGAAGAAAGAUUGACAAAUGACCUAAGUGGGUGACAAGGUAUGGAAGACUAGAGUAUGGUUGAGAAAAUCACUUUAACCCACACUUUGCUAGAGUGAUGUUUACAACCAUACUUGUGACAUACAAGCAACUAGCACUGGAAUUCGGUUUAUUUCAAUAGUAAGACGCCUUGGUGCCAGGAGAAGAGGAUUUCAUCUAGGAGUAGAACAAGAGGGCUUCAUUGGGCAUGUUGUUGCAGAUGAAUCCAAUGAUGAUGGUGUUCCAAAGCACGGUGGAGGGGCGAGGCAAAGUGUCGAACAGUUGGCGGGCAUGGUGGGGUUGGCCUUCCUGACAGAGCUUGCUGAGGCGGGAGCAGAUGGUGUGGGUUGUGAACUUUGGGAGGGAAAUGAUUGGGGAAGAGAGGUGGUUUGGGGUGGUGGGUGUGGAGAGAGGUAGAGCAAAAGCAGAGGAGGCCAUGGCUAUAAUGUUGGGUGAGUUGUUCUGUUAUUUUCCCUCCUUAUUUGUGGAUUGGGAUAUUGUUUUGUUUGGUUGGUCCCUCAUGCUUCCUUCAACUGCUUGUGCGCUUUAACUGAAAAUUUAACUUUCAUUUUCUAACCUUUUUCCCCUCUUCACAAAGAAAAAAAAGUGGUCCGACAUGCACUAGAUGAAUAAAUGUGCAUUCAAGAAUUCAUCAAUGAAGAAUUUACAUAGCAUAAAUGAUUUUUGAAAUUAUUCUCAAUCUUUACUUACCUGUGUUUACUAAAACAUGAGUAUCAAAAUUAUUCCAACACAAUUUAUUUUCUUCAACUAAAGUCACUCAAGCAUAAGUUUCCUCUUCAACUAAAUUUAAUAUCAAUUGUCAAAAUUCUCUCUUUAUUAACAUCUCAUUGAAGCACAAAAUAUCAGUCGACUUAAUCAUAAUUUUGAAAAAAAAUGUUUUGACUUCAAACAAAAUACCCCUAAUUUAAUCUUCUUCAUGUUUUGACAUUUUUUCAACAAAAGUAUGGAAUGAUUAGACGAGAUUGUGGCAUGAAACACCAUUUGAAUCCACUACCUUGGACUCAAAGUUCCCAAUUGGAGAGCUUGUGGCAUGGUGUGCCUAUAG
rnacentral:lncRNA from 1 species